UGCUCCCACAUUGAACUCUACUUUUUGGGUCCAUGCACCUACUUAUUUCUAAACAUCUAAGCGCAAUUAUACCCCUGCCUCCUGAUGUGCCAUAUAACCUGUAUCUCUCCAAUUGUGUGUGUGUGUGUGAGAGAGAAUGUGUGCACGCAGAUAUAAGAAGUUGGGGUUGAUGAUCCACAUGAUGGUGAUGGACCAGGACAGCUCUGGACCUCCUGACUGGCAGCUCCAUCCUCAACCUCUUCCUGCCCUUCACACAUGUGCAGGCAGAGAGGCAGUUUUCUGAAGGAUGGUUGAUGUCAGUACCAACAUGUUGUGAUGGAGGCUUCCACCUGAGCUGAACACAGAAACUUGCACACAGUGAUGGAAGCAGUCGUUCCUGUUCAGCAUUGAUAUGCCGGUAAUGGGUUUGAUGAGCCACAGCAUGGUGAUGGGCAAUCAGCAUCAGGACCAGGGCCGCUCACAAGGAGAACCUCCUGCCCUGCCUCUUCAUCCUCAACCUCCAAUCUUCCUGCUCUUCACACAUGUGCAGGCACGGAGCCAGCUUUCAGAGGGAGGGCUGAUGACACCAGCAACUUCGGAUCUGAACCUGAUCAACCCAGCACCAACCACUGUGCCGCUCCUCCUCUGCCAACUGCACCACAUGGCUCCACCAUCUCAAAAAAGCACAGACACUACUCCACUUCCUGCGAAGGAUGAGAGAAGAGCCGACCUCCCCACAUCGGCACUCACCACCUUCUACAGGGGUGUCAUUGAGAGCACCCUGGCCAGCAGCCUCUCUGUCUGGCAUGGCAGCCGUCAAGAGUGGUGAGGACAGCAGAAAAGCUCAUAAGAUCACCCCUACCAGCCAUUCCGGAUCUGUACACUUCACACUGUUCCAAGAGGGCAAUGAACAUAAAGACACAACUCAUCCAGCACACAGACCACCCUCCCUACUACCAUCAGGGAAGCGCUAGCCCACCAUGCGGUGCUGCAAAAGCACACUGGGAAACGGCUUCUUUCCACAAGCCAUCAGACUCCUCAACGCACUGAAGAAAACCACAUGAAUAACCAAGGACACGAGAGAAUAUUCCAUGAACACUUCUUUCACCAUGCCACUUACAUUUUACUCAUUGCACCUUGUAUACAGCAUCUUCACAUCACCUGUAUGAACUCCUCCUGCCAUGUGUGUGUGUGUGUCCACUGUGUUUGUGUAUUUAUUGUCCAUCAGUAUGUUAAUUGCACACUGUUUGGGUGUGAGUGUAUUUAUAGUAUGUAUCAGUCUGUAUUUAAUGUCAAUGCCUUAUUUUUAGUUAUUAGUUAAAUGCACAUUGGAGACUGGUCAAACACAAUUUCAAACUUUGUGUUAACCCUCCAUAGAUUUUUUUGUCAAAAAAUGGAGUCUAAUCUACUGUACUAGGCUAUCAACAGACCACACAGUUGAGUGCUGUUUUAUGCACUCUGAAUAUGAGGAGAGGAAGAGGUGACCGUUCACACUUCAUAGUGUAAAAGUAAACGGAAAUAAAUUUUCACAUUUCA